UUCUACUCAUCUCACUGACCUACCUUCAUUUUAUCCCUUCCAAGGAAAAUGCAAGGAUAAAUGCUCGACUACUAUCCUCUCAAACUAGAUAGUAUUGUGCUCAAAUAAAAGCUUGAAGAAAACCCUCGACAUUGCCUUGCCUUUAAUCUAUCGUGCAACUGCUUCAUUGCUCUGAUCCUCUCAUUUGAAUGCCUCUCCUGAGUACUUCACACUAAUCUGUCCUCUUCGUUGCCUUCGAUGAGUGCACAGGUCUCACCUUCCUCUUCCAUCAAUGAAGGCCACCGCCAUGGUCACUCAACCUCGGCAGCCAUGGCUGUUCCUAUCCUCUCAAUGCCUCCGCCUUGAUAUGAUUUCUUACUAAACUUUCCUUUCUUUUUUAUAGAUACAUUUCUUUACUUUUAUAAGUGACCACCCUCAACACCGAAGAUCUAUAAUAGAUUGUUUAUUGGUUUGGGUCCAAUCAAUUUGAUGAUAUGGACAAAAUAGAGAGAACCUCGAUGAUGAAAUUUUUUACUUGGUUCUUCUUUAUCAGCAAUACAAGAGAGUUAGAAAAGGGGAACAAAUCGGAGGAAAUGAACAGACUGAAAGGAGGAGAAAAGCAUGACCACCAUUAGCAUACCCAUGAUCUUUUGUGUUAUGUUUCUUCAUCAUUAUCACCAGUCCUCUCCAUGAGCUUCGCGAUGCAGAAGGAAUAAUUGAGCUCGACAAUGAUGACCUAGAGCAAAUGAAGAUGAGAUUGGUGAUGCUCAUUAUGUUUAAAGCAUUAAGUCCCUACAGAACAAAAAGCACACCAGAGAUGAAGAAGAAUAACAAGCAAAUUAACACACACAUGGAGCAAGAACACGCUUUAAGGCUUCUUAUAUUUUGUUUUUCUUUCUCUUUUAACUUUUUGUGCUUAUUCAUCAAUUAUUUACCUUAUUUCUUCUUCCUCAGUCUUCCUUUUAUUUGUGUGGUAGCUGUUAUGUGGGAAAAAAAGCGGAGCUAGAGCGUGGAUUUCAAAUGUUGAAGAGUUAAAGAUGCCUUUUCAAAUGUUUAGUAUUCCUAUACCAUGGAUGGCUCCCGAGCUGCUGAAUGGAAGUAACCAUGAAGUCUUACAAAAGGUUGAUGUGUUCUCCUUUGGCAUAGUAUUAUGGGAGACUUUGACCAUCGUGAGGAGCCAUAUGCCAACAUGCACUAUGGCGUAAUCAUAAGUGCGAUGAUCUUGGUCCAAUAUGCAUGAAUCCACUGAUAUCUUACUAUGGUGUAAUCAUAGGUGCGAUAUUUUUCAAUGCUUUUCUUUACCUUAUCUCUAUUAUGAAUUGAGACAAUAUAUUAUUGCAUCUUUUUGAAUAGGCUUAUACAUUUCUAUUUAAGUAACCUCUUAUUAGAUUUAAGGAUAUUAUGCAUUUUAAUUUAUCUUAAAUAUUGUCUCCUUGCAUUCCUUAACAGUUAUUAAGCCAUUUUGGACUAAAACUCUGGAAGAAAAUGUGGGAAAUUUUUUUGUGCUGAACUGAAAAUUAUUUUCUUGAUGUGUAUGUGUGUAUAUAAAGGAAAAAUGACCAUGGCUAACUAAUUAAUACAACUUAAGACCUUAAAAAUCAAAAUAGUUUCAAGGACAUAGAAAUAAGGACUCUGAUAUUUUUUAAAAUUAUUUUUCACGUCACCUAAAAUUUUUCCUUUGGUUUUUUUUUGGGCCAAAUCUUCCCUAAAUCAAGAAAUGCUCCAGCAGCCAUAUAUGCAGAAAAAAGCAAAAAAGCUCUGGAUGAGACAUCUUAAAUGAUGAACAUCUAUUAGAGACAGUACCAUAAUGUUCUAUAGGAUUAUAAAGCUUAUCUUGACAUUUUUCUUUUGUUGCACAGUGGUAUUUUUCUUUUGUUUCCUAAAAAACCGUUACUAUGUAUGUUACUUCCACUGACAUAUUUCUUAGGAUGAAGACAUGGAAGUACACCUUGAGCAUUAUGCAUGGAAGUUUGCUUCCACUUAUCAUCGUUUCUUUUCUUGACUUAAGACUAGAGUAGCUACUAUGUUGCUAUUGCACUUUUAAUACUUUUGGCCAAGAAUUGUAAUGUUAUGGUGUAUCAAUUGUAUUUAUUUUCACAUUUAAUAUCACUCAAAAGUUUCCUUA